AGUGAACGCUGGCGGUAGGCCUAACACAUGCAAGUCGAACGGCAGCACAGUAAGAGCUUGCUCUUACGGGUGGCGAGUGGCGGACGGGUGAGGAAUACAUCGGAAUCUACUUUUUCGUGGGGGAUAACGUAGGGAAACUUACGCUAAUACCGCAUACGACCUACGGGUGAAAGCAGGGGAUCUUCGGACCUUGCGCGAUUGAAUGAGCCGAUGUCGGAUUAGCUAGUUGGCGGGGUAAAGGCCCACCAUGGCGACGAUCCGUAGCUGGUCUGAGAGGAUGAUGAGGCAGAAGUGUACUGAGGCAAGAGAGAGACUCCUACAGGAGCCAGCAUUGAGGAGUAUUGGAGGAUGGCCUCAGGCCUGAACAAGCCAUACCGCGUGGAUGAAGAAGGCCUGCUGAUUUUAAAGCUCUUUUGAUGGGACAAAAAAACAGCACGUGAGUGACCCUCUGGUCUGCCGUUGCCCAAAGAAUGGGAACCGCCCAACUUCAUC
rnacentral:rRNA from 1 species